CAGGGUGCCCCCCCCCCCCCCGCCGGCGUGCCCCUCACAGCGGGGCCUGCCUCCUCGCCAGGUCUUCGACGUGCAGCGCAAGGUCACCUACAAGAACCUGAGCCACUGGUACAAGGAGCUGCGCGAGUUCCGGCCCCACAUCCCCUGCCUCGUGGUGGCCAACAAGAUCGACGCUGACAUGAAGGUGACGCAGAAGAGCUUCAAUUUCCCGCGGAAGUUCAACCUGCCCUUCUACUUCGUGUCGGCGGCAGACGGCACCAACGUGGUGAAGGUGGGCGGGGGCUGCUGCCCCGCGGGGAGCCGCCUGCCGAGGGGCGGGCACAGCCGGCGCCUGGCGCUGGCGCAGCCGCCUCGCUCCGCCGGGGUGGGGAGAGCCCGGGCCCGCCUGGCUCCCCGCGCGACGUCCACCGCCUCCCCGCAGAUCUUCAACGACGCGAUCCAGCUGGCUGUCUCCUACAAGCAGAACUCGGGGGACUUCCUGGACGAAGUCAUGGAGGAGCUGGAGAAUAUUGGGCUGGAGAAAGCAGAGGAGGAUUCGGCUGGCAAGGAGGAGAGUGGCCCGGGAGACGGCCCCCCGCCGACCUGAGCCCAGGACUGGAAGGACCCGCUCCUGCCCCCGCGCCCUCACGCAGCCAGAGGCCACGCCUUCUGCAGAGACUCGGGGGAGCAGUGCCCCCCGUGUCGGGGCGGCAGGCGGCCCUCCCUGAAGCCGACGGCCUGACAGCUUCCACCCCCCGAGGACGGGCCACCACUGUGGGGCGCGGGGCCCCAGAGGCCCCCUCCCCUGCCCUGGGGCCGCCGGCACAAGCACCGGAGGAAGGCGCUUGCCUCGACGGAGAGAUUGAAGGACCAGCAGUGCAGCCUUGGCGUGUCUCCUUGCCCCCUCCCCAGGGGAGCGGAAAGGGUCUUGGCGGCCCCCUGGCUGGAUCGGGCCGGAGGGCCACCCCCAGGCCCACGAGAUGCUUCUCGGAAGCCCCAGGCGGGACGUACGAGGGGCAGCCCUCUCCCCCUCCGUCCAGCCCUGGUGCUGAGUGGACGUGUCCCGAAGGAGGGCCGCCGACAGGCGUCGGUAAGAGCAAACGUGCUGUACCUCGGAGCAGAAUAAACAAAGAUUUCCUGC
rnacentral:lncRNA from 1 species